UCGAAAAUUUUUGAUCAGUAUGCAGCAAUGAAUACUGUAAAAUAUAUAUUUCUGUUUGCUGCCGUUGCAGUUGUCUUGAUCUCCAAUGUCAUAGCUGCACCAUCAGGUAGUCCUAAAACUAACCAUGAAGAGCUAUGGAAAAUAAAAUUGCAACCUUUUCUUCAGUUAUGUUUGGAAGUAUCUGAAUUACUUGGGCCUUGGUUUCCAGGAGGCUAAAAUGCAGUUAAAAUGACUUGGCACAAGAAGAUUAUGUUUAUAACAAUUUAUGGCACAAAAUAUUCGGCAAACUUUAGUUAUCGCACAAAUGUCCUAUAAUAAAUUAUCAAUAUUGUAAAAAAUUAACAAAAUAAUACUUUUGGUGUCGGAUAUACAAAAUAUAAUAUGCGAUUAUUGUUUUAUUAUACAUCAAAAUAUAUUUUGUAUUAAUAAAUAUUAUACAUUAAUAUUUAUCUGGCAGAAAUUAAAAAUUGUUAGUUUUAUUAUAAAA